CCUACGGGUGGCAGCAGUGGGGAAUAUUGGACAAUGGGGGCAACCCUGAUCCAGCCAUGCCGCGUGUGUGAAGAAGGCCCUCGGGUUGUAAAGCACUUUCAGUGAGGAAGAACGCCUGGUGGUUAAUACCCAUCAGGAAAGACAUCACUCACAGAAGAAGCACCGGCUAACUCCGUGCCAGCAGCCGCGGUAAUACGGAGGGUGCGAGCGUUAAUCGGAAUUACUGGGCGUAAAGCGCGCGUAGGUGGCUUGAUAAGCCGGUUGUGAAAGCCCCGGGCUCAACCUGGGAACGGCAUCCGGAACUGUCAAGCUAGAGUGCAGGAGAGGAAGGUAGGAUUCCCGGUGUAGCGGUGAAAUGCGUAGAGAUCGGGAGGAAUACCAGUGGCGAAGGCGGCCUUCUGGACUGACACUGACACUGAGGUGCGAAAGCGUGGGUAGCAAACAGGAUUAGAUACCCCGGUAGUC
rnacentral:rRNA from 1 species